ensembl:lncRNA
UGUGAAAUAGAGCCACAGUCCAGGAAAGGCCUGGCACAAGAGAAAUAAGUGCUGGACAUGGAAUAUCCUCAAUGUGAAAAAAAAAAAGAAUAAAGGGAAGGGUACAAAAAGGAGACCACCUCCGGGGGCUCACAGCUGCACAAAUUGUAUUGACACAGUGCUUGGGGAUUGCUUAGUGCAUGGAGGUUCUUGCUUGUCACCAAAGUGGCCGUGCAGAGUGGUCAGACAAGUCAGGCAGUGAAUGCAUGCACAUUAAUGUUUGCUGUCACUGAAGUUGCAAAACAAAAGCAGACAGAUCAUUCCAGGACUUGGCCUCCUUAUCUCCACCUACCACAGCCUAUAAAGUUGCAUAAGAAAACAGAACAGAAUGGGAAGAAAUCUGAGGUGGAAAUCUGAAGAGAAAUGAAGUAGUUGAAGCAAAAACAAGGGACGAAGUUUUCCCCAGAAUGCAAAUUUAAGGUAAUGGCAAAGUAGUUCUGUGCAAGCCUCCAAUCCUGACUUCAGUUCCUGCCCAACUUAGGCCAAAAGAAGUUAAAAUUAAGGAGGCUUCUUUUGUGGUUUGUCACAUACUCUGUGAUUAUGGACACUCAAAAAGCUCAUUCUACUACAAGACUCAAGGAUGUGCAUGCACCCUGCUGGAAGACUUCCUUGUUUCAUGCACAUAAUUCCAGUAUGCAAAAAGGUAAUGACUGAGAAAAGGAGAUGUUCCCCUUGUGGCUUAGUGGUGACAAAAGGGUUAAUCAUCUCCCCAGCAGGGUCACACUAAAGCCCAUGCAAUUCCCAGCCUUCACCAAGCAGCACAGUGGGAAGAGGAGAUGGGGUAGAGUGGGGGUUAGGGUCAGGGUUAGGUCCCUGCAGAGGUCUGUUGUGUGGCAGAGAAGAUGAAGGGGCUCCAAAGGGCUUUUGUUCUGUUGGAAUCCCUGACUUCUUCCUUAAAAAAGUGGAGAAAUUUUAUCUGGGAGACAUGAGCAUCUACUCAGUGACUUCUCAGAGCAUGGGACGAGCAACUCACUGGUGUCUUGCCAGGACCUGGCUGCAGACUGCUCAUUCAAGGAGAGCAUCCUGCUUUGUGGACUGGAAUGAGAAGUCUCCCCAGCUCUGAUCCAGAAUUUGAGGACUCAGAGGAUGGAGCCUGCUGCCAUGCAUUGCAAGCCCAGCCCAGCCAGCCUCCAAGGGCCAUUGGGCCACUGCACUGAUGUUGCGAGGUGGUAACAAAGGAUGCAGGAAGUCCUUAUGAGGAGGAUGCUGUGAUGAGGAAGUGAAUGAGAUGAGCUGUUAAUAAAAGAC